GCUGUCUAGCUCAGUUGGUUAGAGCAUGGUGCUUAUAAAACCAAGGUUGCAGGUUCGAUCUCUGCUAUGGGACAGCU